rnacentral:rRNA from 1 species
AUGGCCUACGGGGGGCAGCAGUGGGGAAUAUUGCACAAUGGGGGAAACCCUGAUGCAGCGACGCCGCGUGAAGGAUGAGGUAUUUCGGUAUGUAAACUUCUAUCAGCAGGGAAGAAAAUGACGGUACCUGACUAAGAAGCCCCGGCUAACUACGUGCAAGCAGCCGUGGUAAUACGUAGGGGGCAAGCGUUAUCCGGAUUUACUGGGUGUAAAGGGAGCGUAGACGGUAUGGCAAGUCUGGUGUGAAAACCCGGGGCUCAACCCCGGGACGGCAUUGGAAACUGCCGAACUAGAGUGUCGGAGAG